rnacentral:rRNA from 1 species
GAUGAACGCUGGCGGCGUGCCUAAUACAUGCAAGUCGAGCGAACGGACGAGAAGCUUGCUUCUCUGAUGUUAGCGGCGGACGGGUGAGUAACACGUGGAUAACCUACCUAUAAGACUGGGAUAACUUCGGGAAACCGUAGCUAAUACCGGCUAAUAUUUUGAACCGCAUGGUUCAAAAGUGAAAGACGGUCUUGCUGUCACUUAUAGAUGGAUCCGCGCUGCAUUAGCUAGUUGGUAAGGUAACGGCUUACCAAGGCAACGAUGCGUAGCCGACCUGAGAGGGUGAUCGGCCACACUGGAACUGAGACACGGUCCAGACUCCUACGGGAGGCAGCAGUAGGGAAUCUUCCGCAAUGGGCGAAAGCCUGACGGAGCAACGCCGCGUGAGUGAUGAAGGUCUUCGGAUCGUAAAACUCUGUUAUUAGGGAAGAACAUAUGUGUAAGUAACUGUGCACAUCUUGACGGUACCUAAUCAGAAAGCCACGGCUAACUACGUG